UAUUCGUGUGCGCGGGCCCAUACAUAUGGUCACCUGCCUCCUUCUCUUGAUUUUGUUUUCUUUUCGAUCCUCUCGUUUCGCUCCUGCGUCUUGUGCGCGGCCGUCGCUGUGCCCGCGUGCCUCACUCGCCAUCUUUUCACCUCCCCCACCUCCUCAUCGUUUGCUUCUCCUCUGUGGAGUGGGGGAGCCUCACCGCGCUCCCCACCACCACCCCCUCCUCCCGUCUCUCUCGCUCUCUCUCUUAAGUACACACGCCUCGACACAUUCGACUGCCGCCCUCGCUCUUUUGUUUCGUGGCGUUGCUGCACAUUCCUGCACCCCACAUCCGCUACAAGGCGGCGUGUCUCUGCAGGAGCCGUCUACUCCUCCUAUGCCGUUGGACGACCAAAGGCUUCUCUGACAUCUCUUUCACCGCGGCAGAAGAGAGAGAGAGGUGCGCACGUAGUUCUGCGUGUGCGGGCUGCUACGCAGAUCUGUGAGCGUGAGCUGUGCAAACUAGCAAAGUCGAAGCGCCGCAGAGAUGCCCGGCUCCGGUAGCGCCGGCCCGAAGAGCAGGCCGGAGAUGUGUAGGUCCCCUAACAUGGAGGCUGCGAAGACGACAGCCUCAUCCAGUGAGGCGCCGACUACCAACUCCGCGACAGCGGCGACAAGGGGAAGUCGUCGCGCUCAAGGCUGGCACUUGGCUGUAGGCGGUGGUGCCCCUCCCGGUACCGCCGGUGCCCAUCACUCCGCGUUGGAUGCCAAGAUGCUGGGAAGUAGUGGUGCGAACAGCGGCAUCGCUCUUAGAUCCUCCGUGCAGUUUAGCAAAGAUACUCGGUACAGCCAGAACAGCCCUAGCGUGCCGCGGGUGUUUCACGGCGCCGCGAGCGAUGAAGCGGCCGACUUUCGUCAGAACAUGGCCGACUUCCUGACGGUGAUGUAUGGCGACAAGACGGCCAGCGGCGUCGUGGGGAUAGAUGAAAAAAGUGUUGGCGCGCCACACGCCAAAGGAAAGGCGUUCGUUGCUGAGUCGGGCAUCCCUGCUGCGCUGCUGGCAGCCGAAAGCGGGCCACUGCCGCGCGUGAGCUCCUCGGGUGGGGUGUCCCCGGGAAGCAAAGGCCCGCUCGUGAAGGGCCUCACUGCGAACAGCCGCCGCCACUCGCAAGGCGACCACAUCGAUACGCUCGUGGAGUCACUGGUGCGUGCCUACAGCCGCCGGACGACGUCAGCGCGCGGCGAGUUUCAAGGCACCACCGGGCCAGACGACGAUAGGCCUAUCACAUACAACGUUGCCCGCCAGACCAACUACUGCCGUACACAGGCGUCCCCACGACUGAGCCGUGGCAACGGCGUCGGCGCCGGCAGCGGACACAAUCACGAGGUUUCAGUGUUUGUGAGCCAGGCGAUGGGCAACAUCCUCAGCCCCGGCGGCAUUCGAGGCCAAGGGGCCGUGUCGAAUCGCUCUAUCCUGUCCUCUCUUGGGCUGGACAGGAACCUCUUCAACUUGAUGCCCUUCCAGACACGGAGCAACCUGGAGAAUGUCACUGAAGAGGACUCCGACACGUUGUUGGAGCCGGUGUACGUGGGCAAGCAGGCGAUGUUUCGCUCAGUGGGCACGCGGCCCAACAUCAGCGACAUCUCCGUCAGCAAGUCCAUGCGAGGGGUGAUGUCGUCAGCGCCGCGUGAGUGUGGCAAGAACGGGCACCGCAACACCACCCAAGUGCCACUGCGUGGUGACAGCGGUGGCCCUCGACGAUCCAGCGGGGGCACUGUGCCGUUGUGGCAGAGGCAGGGACUAGGGAGGAGCAAACAGAGCCUUGACAGCGUUGAAGUGAUGGACAAGAGCAGAGUGAAUCAGCGAGGCGGCAGCGGCGCGGGCGGUAGCACGAAGAAUAGGAACGCUACACUCUCUAUGUCCCUUGACUCUAAGGCGCUCGGCAAGGCUGGCGGUGCGGACGAGGAGGAUGACAGCUGGAGCGAUGAGCCCGCCGGCAUCCUGGCGACCAAGGUGAUGGAGGGUGAGAGCCCUGCAAUCGUCUCGUCUGCCCGAAGCCUCUUGGACUACUGCAAGACACGUGCUGACGUCACGCUGCAGAAGGCACUAGGGGCGCUGCAAGACGAGGAGCAGCUGAAGCGUGACGUCGUGAUCGCCGUCGAGCACCAGUUGUGCGUGUACAUCUAUUCUCUGGAACGUGCGGAAAGGCCGAAGAAGGGCGGAGGGGCUGCGGGUAUCAGCGAUCGGAGAAAGGGGAGCGGAGAGAAAUCCGCCAACUCGAAUCUAGCAGCCGAACGUGAGAAGGUCACCAGCGGAGAAGCAGGCGCAGGCGGGUAUCCGAGUAAUCGUGACACUAUGAACAGCGAGGUCGCCCCUCUCACGGGGAACGUCAUGGACUUCUUACAAGAAAGCACUGCCGGGGCCAACCGCUCGAAGUCUCUGAAGUCUGCCUCGAUGAAAAUGUGAGUGAGCUGCGCUUUUGCUCGUGCGUGCGCGCGGUGUCUGCUCCUCCGGUGUGGAUUACCCCGUAAGUGUGCAUAAGAGGCACUUCCGAGUCGCCUUUUCUUAUCCACUCUCUAGCUCUCUCCGUAGGUGGUGCCUUCGUCGUGGCAGAUGCCCCUUUCAUACCUCCCACCACCACCGGUGCUUCGAAACGCCCCAUCCUUCCCCUCCUCACCGCUCCCCUCAAGGGGAUUUGCGGCGAGAGCAACCUGUUUAUGCUUUCCUUUUCCUCUCGUACUUCGUUAAUUUCUUGUUUGCUCGUUGCUCUCCCGGCCCGCCCCCCUCCCCGCUCCGCACGCUCUGCUCGCCUGUCCUUCGUGUGCCCGUCUGUUUUUUUUUUCUUGGUCGGACCGCAUCUCUGUUCCAUGCCUAUUCAUGCUUGUUUUACACCUCCGCCGCGCAUGUCUGGUGUACCUGCGCGGCAACGUUUUUUUUUUUGCCUUUUUUUUGGAAUUGUGGCGGUAGCGGAGGUACUGGUGGCGGUUGUGGCACCUCCGCUACUUCCUUCAUCCUCCUUCAUCCUCAUGCCACCUUCAUCGUGCAAAAAGCCCUUUGCCCUUUCUACGUAUCCAUUUAUACAGGAGCAGCUAUACAACGAACGCGCAUGUGGAACGCACACGCACAAACUCUUUCUCUGUAUUUUGCUUUACGAGGCGCCUGGGUGUCUGCGCCUGUGCGUGGACUCUCCUCUCGGGCUUGGCCUGCCGCGCUGGCAUGGUGUGGGUCUCGCCGUUCUGUUUGGUUGUCACUCUUCUUUGUUGCUCCCCUCAUGACCGGGAGGGUGGUGGUGGACACCUCAGCGUAGUAUCAGGGUGCAGUACUCCCACCCUUAGUGUCGGCAGACAAGUCUGGCCUGGCGCCUUACCGGGGAGACUAGUGGUCAUGGUCAGGCGUGUACCAGCCCACUGCGCAUCCUGUCGGCUACUCGGCAACUAUAGCAGGCUAUGGGUACGUUGAGCGCAGACGCAUGCUCAUGCGUGGGUUUCUUCCGCCUGUGUGACACCCACUCGUGUGAGAGGCGUGCGGAUUCAGAAGAAGGUGGAACGCCCCUGCGGCCACAGACGGAGGGCAGCGCCCUACCUGUCGCGUCACAUGCGGGCAAGCCAACCCCAGACACGCCCCCUCCCCAGGCAACAACGCCGUCCUGAAGCUGGCCACAGGAUGCGAAUAAAUGCGAGCACUGUGCGCGCUGUCAUGCACAGCUGGCAUGGUCUAUCACGUCCGAAGAAGGCGCCCGGAGGCCGGGGGGCGGGGGAACGCGCGUGAUGGGCGACAAAGGCGCAGAAGUAUGCACACCGAUCAGCCCCACAGCGCAUGCGUGCGAAGUGUGCGGCGUCUCCUGCAUCCGAUCGGGGUGGGCUGAUGCGGCGCAGGUGCCGGAAGCGUCCGCGGAGCACCCCGAGCUACACCAUCGAGCUCUCCAGACUCCAUUGUACAGAGUCUCGACACUAUAUUAUGCAAUGCCGCGGCCUGAGGCGACUGAGGGUGAAGCAUGGCAUACGCAGGCAGGAUGCUCAGGGCCUCAGAGUGCCCUGGCUUGAGGCAGGCCAACUUCCGCCGUGAGCUCGUGCGGCGUGCACCUAGAUCACCGCUUCCUCACUACCCGCACGACGGGCGCCGCUGCUUCCGUCCUGGAACAGGGGACUUGGUGCGGCCCGCUUGCAUCACGACAUUGCUGUCCACCCAGGCUCGUCAGACGCAUGGCCCGGCUCGACGGCUGCACAGCUCGUCCGAGGCGACGAGGCUUUGGCCGUGUGCCUACGAAGACAGAUGAGCUGCGCUUGUAUGUGUAUACAUUUGAGGACGGCUCAUUGUGGAACGGCAGGUCUCGAAACGAAUACCCCCCUUCUUUCGCACCCCUGCUUACUCCCCUCUCUGAGCAUUUACAUCGUAUCUUUGCCUCUCAGCCGGCUCACUAUUUCUUUCUUGGUGUCGGCGUGUGUGGUGUGGUGCGUGUGUGUGUGCCUCGCGUGCGAGGCAUUCCCUCUGCCCUCCCCCUCCCCUCCCGUCUUCCAGUCGCUGUUUCUUUUGGCUCUUGUGUACCGCUGUUUGAGCACCUCCACACACAGGCAGGUGCGCGGCACCCUGAAGCGUUCGGUGACUGCACAGUGGAGAAACACGAUCAGCAGGGAUCAGGGCAGGGGUACCACGUCAUGCGGUGUCUCUACUCCCUCCUCGGCGGCGGAUCGCUCACCCGCAGCUUUGGCACGAAGGCGUUGUUUUAUUAUUUUUUUUUUUGACCUCGGCGCGUGUGCAUCUGUCUGUGCGCCCGCUCAUGUGUCUGCCGGUGCGCGGCAUCUGUGCCGUCUUCCCCUCCUCCACGCUGCCACCUCCCCCACCCCCAUCCAUCCAUCCAUCCAUCCACCCCAUGUGCGUAUCUUCUUUUUUCUGCCCCGUUCUCACUGUCUCGUGCGCUUUGUACGGGCCACUGCUGGUGAAGUAGCGGGGCGUUGCCGCGUACGGUGCCGGGCGGGAGGGGCCCACUGCCCUCCCUCUGCCUUCUCGCCCUUGGCCUGCCUUCUUUGCUUCGACGGCGUACUCCUUUGGCUUCUCUCGUGUAUGCUUGUGGGCUCGUUGCUUUUUGUUCACCGGUGCAUCGUCCUUCCUUUUUUUUCCCCCUUCGACGUUAUUCUUUCCCCUCCCUCCGUCCUCUUUUGUUUUUUUUUUUGCUCGCUCGGCAUCUCUGUCUCUCCCUUGGUGGGGUGCGAGCACGUUUCUCUGUCGCCUUGUUGCUACUACGCACAUGCGCGCUUGUAUGUGUGCGUGUGUGUAGUCACGGAGACGCAUGCCGCCCACGCUGUGCAGCAUAUCCUUUGUUGGAGCG
rnacentral:misc_RNA from 1 species